UCAGCGGCGGACGGGUGAGUAACACGUGGGUAACCUGCCUGUAAGACUGGGAUAACUCCGGGAAACCGGGGCUAAUACCGGAUGCUUGAUUGAACCGCAUGGUUCAAUCAUAAAAGGUGGCUUUUAGCUACCACUUGCAGAUGGACCCGCGGCGCAUUAGCUAGUUGGUGAGGUAACGGCUCACCAAGGCGACGAUGCGUAGCCGACCUGAGAGGGUGAUCGGCCACACUGGGACUGAGACACGGCCCAGACUCCUACGGGAGGCAGCAGUAGGGAAUCUUCCGCAAUGGACGAAAGUCUGACGGAGCAACGCCGCGUGAGUGAUGAAGGUUUUCGGAUCGUAAAACUCUGUUGUUAGGGAAGAACAAGUACCGUUCGAAUAGGGCGGUACCUUGACGGUACCUAACCAGAAAGCCACGGCUAACUACGUGCCAGCAGCCGCGGUAAUACGUAGGUGGCAAGCGUUGUCCGGAAUUAUUGGGCGUAAAGCGCGCGCAGGCGGUUUCUUAAGUCUGAUGUGAAAGCCCCCGGCUCAACCGGGGAGGGUCAUUGGAAACUGGGGAACUUGAGUGCAGAAGAGGAGAGUGGAAUUCCACGUGUAGCGGUGAAAUGCGUAGAGAUGUGGAGGAACACCCAGUGGCGAAGGCGACUCUCUGGU
rnacentral:rRNA from 1 species